UACGGGGGGAGCAAGCGUUGUUCGGAUUUACUGGGCGUAAAGGGCGCGUAGGCGGCGCAACAAGUCACUUGUGAAAUCUCCGGGCUUAACUCGGAACGGUCAAGUGAUACUGUUGUGCUAGAGUGCGGAAGGGGCAACUGGAAUUCUCGGUGUAGCGGUGAAAUGCGUAGAUAUCGAGAGGAACACCUGCGGCGAAGGCGGGUGGCUGGGCCGACACUGACGCUGAUGCGCGAAAGCCAGGGGAGCGAACGGG
rnacentral:rRNA from 1 species